rnacentral:rRNA from 1 species
UUAGUAGGUGGCCAACUAAGUCAGACGUGAAAUCCCUCAGCUUAACUGGGGAACUGCGUCUGAGACUGGUGGGCUCGAGGACAGGAGAGGAACGCGGAAUUCCAGGUGUAGCGGUGAAAUGCGUAGAUAUCUGGAGGAACACCGGUGGCGAAGGCGGCGUUCUGGACUGUUUCUGACACUGAAUAACGAAAGCCAGGGGAGCAAACG